UGACAACAGUGUAUGUCAGCCCGCCAGAGACGGGCUAGAUUUGUGACGGGCGGUCUAGAUUUACAGCUAGCCAGCCCGAUGAUCUGGUAAACUUUUUAGAUGUUCCAUACAUAUUUUGGUGUCUGGUCUGGUUAAAUCCA